AUAGUUGAAGACGAACCGUUCGAUCUUCCAAAUACAUAGUCUUGCUUAGAAAGUCUAUACCAAUAGUAGCCUUGGACCCUGUUAGUAAAGAAGUUUUAAUUAUAGUUACUUACUUGAUAAGUAUUAUCAAACUGAUCGUACAUAAAUCGUGUAAUUAACGAUGUUUUGCCAACUGACUGCUCACCGAGAAAAACCAACUUAAAUUUACGCAAAGAA